ACAACCAUAGUGGGCCGAGUAAACAAAGGCAGUAAACAAACGAGGGUUUUUGUUUAGAUGAAUGAGGCGUAUUUAACGACGGAUUAUUGGCAGAAAUAUCCAAAUGAGGAUUAGCAGAGAGGGUUAGACAGGGAUUAUGGUAAAUCUCCAACACAAAGCUCGCGUGUUAACAUCAAGCGAGGAUGUUCCAAGUUAAGAGUUAGACAGUCUUUAUUAAAAGAGGAACAUAGCCAUAUGGAAAGUUUUCAAUUUUUAGUUUAAAUUUGGCUUUUAGUGUUGAAUGACUCACUUCUAUGCGAUUCAAGUCUGAACUUUAAAGCUUACUUGAGUUCAAGAUUUAAAUAACUAGUAACAUUUAUGUUACGAAACAGUGGCAGUUUGAUUCGGAGUCAGUUCGUGACGAUGAAUAACAAACUUUUUAAAACUAUUAUCUUCAGGGGAAUUAAUCUCUUUUCAUAUUUGUAAUUGUGUUUGAAGCAAUCGAUUCAUGUUUAUAUUUAGCUGUGACUUAUCGCAGGUGUACUCUUCGGCGAUGUAAAUUUAAUUUGGAGUAAGAAAAUAAAGUAUACCAAAGUGCCUUAAAUAUCGUCCUGCUAAUCUGCUGCAAUGGAUAUUAAACAUUUAGUGUGUGUUGGAAUUAUAACCCAGAUGAGUUUUAUAAGUGUUGCAACUGGUCGACAGAUGUGUUAUUCCUGUGCCUACAACUUCAAUGCCUUAAAGAGUGGUUAUAACUGUGUAACCUACCCCAAAAAUUGGACCGUCGGCGACUGGAGAAUGCGAUGUCCUAAUAAAUGCACCGAGUCCAGUCAUUAUUCUAAAGAGACAGGUGAAGCGACAUAUUUUUAUCGCGGAUGUAGUGGUGGUGAUGAGGUGCCGGAAGAUGGUUGUACUGAAGAUGAUCUCAAAUUCUAUUGUUUCUAUUCCUGCUCAGGACACUAUUGUAAUGACGGCCCGGCCAUUGAUGAAGAAUUGUUUAAUGAGAUUAAACAAGAGGACGAAUCAGCAACUGGAAAUGUACCUAUUUAUUCGUUGAUGUUGACAGAUUUGGCUUUAUUGAUGGCAGUUUUGUACAAUCAUUAUGUAUUUGUUUGAAUUAGAUGCAUAGUUUGUGAAAAUAUUUGCUUUUAUAUUGCUAUAAAUUAGGCCUAUCGCUUACGGGAUCCUACAUUUCCAUGUAUUGCUCCGUUUUAAACACCGUGCUGGUUAUAAAAUUUAUUUAAGAAGUUAUCUGGUGUCGGGACCUCUGGACUAGAAUGGGCUUUAAUCCUUGCGUGGAUCGAGAAGUGAUACCUUUGAUCUCGUUGGGAUGGAACGCUGGUCGACCCAUGUAUUUACUAACGCGUGGGGAACAUGAAUCAUUGGCAGUUGAAUUAUUGUCAUAUUGUAACCGUAGAAAUAAAAAUUCUUAUAGAAGUUUUAACCUCUCUUAAAUUAGAAGUACAAAUCAAUAAUGUUUUUGUAUAAUACUGGCAAAUAAACAAAAUAGUUUGGGGCCAACUCUCUGCAGCUUAGUCUUAAAUUGUGUCCAAUAUUAUGCACUCUAAUAUGUGUUUUUAUAUUUAGCACGAUGCUUAUAUUCGGUAGCUUUACCGGAUAACUUAUCAAUUUCUGAUUCAUUCACGGUUAUGAGUUCAUGUCUUAUUGUAUUAAUUGUAUAAAUACGAUAUUGUGUAAAUACGAUGUCCCAAGUGUCACCCGAGGCGUGUAAGCUUCACACAAUUUAAGCACUAUGCUCGUGAUUUGUUUAUUUCUUGGUUUGUUCACUCUGACUUUCAUUAUUUACCCUGUCUGUGUUGUAUUCACUCUUAUUUAAAUUAAAGAUACAUUAGUUAAGACCUAAAUAUGUCAAUUGCAAGGCUUUCUAUAGACUUCAAUUAAUAUCAUAUAAAUUAUUAAUUAGACCUUUAUUUACAUAAUAAGCCUAAAAUCAACUCUGUAGACCCGCGGAUGGCUUGGAUACCGCUUGUGUUGAAACAGUCGUCCAUUUAAGAAUUAAAUCGUUUAAUGGUUGACCAAGCUAACAUUUACUGUUAAUCACUGACAUCACUACCGGAGACUGUCGAUGAAAGGACUGGCAAUCGAGCGUACCGUAGGCAUUGAGAAUGUUACGUGAUAAUCGAGACCUUGCGGAGACCGUUGAUGCCUGUUUCUAGUCCAAAUUUCCAACAGUGAUGAUUUCGUUCAGAAUAAAGUAAUUUGACUGUAAUUUUAAAUACUUUCUCUUUUUUAUCAUCUAUUUUGAACUGUUAUAUCAGGAAUGACCAACGCUUUUUUAAAAUCUUAACUAAUGUAAGUUCACUCUAGCUUUGAUUUUUAGCUAUAAUUUUGAUCUGUUGGCUCCAAUGUGGUCUGUUUUCACUAUAAUUUUGAUUUGCUAACAAUAGUUUAGAUCUGUUCACUCAAAUCUUAACUCAUUCACGUAUAUCUACUUAUUGAAAAUCUAUUCCAACUUAUUCUAAUUAAUAUAUCCAUAUUUAUCUAUUUAUCUUUAAAAUUUAAAAAAUAGAUAUGUUUUUCUUUUCAAUUUACAUAUAUACAAUAUAAUAAUGUUCAUGUUCACCGUAUCAUCUCAAUUAUUAUCUUACGUUUAUCUUAAUUUACUCUGAUAUAAAUAUUUUUAUUUUCAUUUCAAUCUAUUUUUUGCUUAUCUCAAAUUGUCAUUUUAAUCUUAAUCUUUUUUUCUUUACUUAAUCUAUUCACUCUAAUCUCAAUAUUUUACUUUGAUUUGUUCAUUGUUAUAUGUUUAAUCUACACAAUAAUAGCAUCACCCAUUUUGAUGAGAUUUAGAUGAUAUGUGUCCUCUGUUUAUGUUCUUUCUUUCAAAAAAACAAAACCAAUCGAUACUGGUAUUCAUUUAUCUAAUCGAUAUUAUGUACCGGUAUGUAAUCCCUAGUCACCUUAUGUUAUGUACUGGUAUUUAGAUAUGUAAUCGAUAGUCAAAUUGAUUUAUGUACUGGUAUUUAUAACGCAAUGUGUUUUGUUAUGUGUUCUGUACAACCCGACAAAGAAGGCUUAUUUUUUGUUGAAACUAGGAAUUCUGGAUAUGAUCAGUUAUUAAUUUAUUUACUUUGAUCUGAAUUUAUUUACAACGCUAAAAACAUAUUUUCAUAAAGUUUUUUUUUAUAAUAUAUUGAGAUAGAUAUCGUUUAUUUUUGAUAUUCUGAAUUUAUUGUGUCUAUGAAAUAAAUUCUAUAGUAACUAAA